AGAUAAAUAUUUUAAAUUAAAAUAUCUAUUCUGCAAAUAGAAAAUGUUCUUAUAACUUUAUCUG
rnacentral:tRNA from 1 species